ensembl:lncRNA
CACAUGCUCUUUGAGAAACAAUUUGCAUUUUACAUGCCAUGCUCAUGCUCAUGAGUUUGGUUUUUAUUUUCUGUUUCAAGUUUUGAAUGUUCAAAUGCACACAACAGGAUGUGGUAUCUGAGCAAUGAGUAGUCAGGCAUGCUAUCUCUCACUAAAGUGUUCAGGGCAAUCCUUCCUGUACGGAAAAACAAAACUGUACUGUAAGACCAGUUUUUAACUUCAGUUCCUAAAGAAAAGCACCAACAUGUAAUCUUUUACACAGUACAUAUGCUAUAAUGAAAAGAAAUCAUAGGCUGUGAAUUCUCUUGGGCUAAAAAUGGCCUAUAAUGCUACAUUUCCAUAAGUAAUGUUCACGUGAAAAAUCUUGCUGAAAUAUAUUUAUUUAUUUGUUUGUUUACAGAUUUAUAGAUUAAGAUGUAUAUGUUGGGUCUAAAGCAGACUGAUUUAACUGGUGCAUAUAUAUUAUAUGUCAUCAUAAAUAUAUAUAUAUAUAUCGAUAUAUCUAUUUCACAGCCAGUUCAAAGCAUUGCUUUAUCUCCACCCUCUUUUUCUUCUUUUGCUUUCAGCACAGCACGCCUAUGUUUUCUCCUGCCAGCUCAUAUAGGCUAAAGAACAAACAAGUAACGACCCUACGAUACAGAUGUAGUGGGGUUUUCUCAGAUGAAAUAAUUCACCUUUGUUAAAAGUGAUGAUGUCGGACACAAAUGAUGGAGGCAGCAAUUUAACGAUCUUCAUUCUCUGCUUCAUCCUGGUCGUCCUUGUUCUUCUCCUGUUGUACCUCUACAAGCGACUGAACAAUGAAACAAAGGAUGAAUAUACCAUCCAGCGGCUUGUCUUCAGUGAGGGAGGCCUUCGUGAUCGUGUGAGGCAAGGCAUUGCAGAGGUCCAGACCAGGAUAGGUGACCUGCAUAAGGUCUCAACCCCUUGAUGAAGAGCAAGCUUUGAGCAAUAAUGAAGAUGGGAAUAGUGGCAGAGAAGAAGAACGAGACGAAGAAGAAGAUGCAGGACAAGGUCAAAGGGAAAAUGAGAACAAGACAGAAGAGAAAGAAGAGGAACAUCAAGAUCAUGAUUCAUCAGACGACUAUUCCAGCAUUGACCUAAGGGAGAGAGUAAAGCAGAAUAACAGCAAUGAAGAGGAAAUGAAAGAAGAUGAACAAGAGAAACAAGAGGUGGCAAAAGAUGAAGGAAAAAGAGAUGACAAUAAACAAGAGGAAGAUGUGAAGAAUGAAGAAAGGGUUGGCUUACUUGUAGACUUGAAGGCAUUCUCUGGCAGUGCCAUUUGGUCUGAGGAGAAAAAGGAAGAGACUAAUGUGACAGCUUUGUGAAAUAUAGAAGGCUUUAGCCUAAAUAUGAGGCUCAUUAGAAGAAAAGUCUAGACUUGACGAUGUUUGUCUUGCGAUGAGUGAUUUACCUUUGUCAUUCUUAAAAACCUGAUGCAUCCAUAAUAUCCAUAAGAUAGUUUAUUAUUUUUCUUAUCCAUGGCUUAUUUUAUUAGCAUGUUUUCUGUAAUGGCUGACUUUUUUGUUAUUAGAAUAUUUUUUUCAUAAAAACUGUACAUUUACUUCAAAAUAAAUACCAUUAAAUCAUUCAUUUUGAUUUUUUUUUUAAUGCUAUGAAGCUUCAGACUAAAAUAAAGGCCUAGCGUUUAGCCAUAUUAUUCCCCAAAUGGAAACUGAAUACACGACCAUCUCUUGUUAAUGUUGAUCAGUUUAUUUGCUUGCUUUUGUGCCACACAACAUAUGAACAACGCACAAUAAAAUACAUGCAUGUAGUAUGAUAGAAUAUAAUAGGAUCAACUAUUUAUUGAUGUCAGUAAGCUAUACGGUCGAUGAAAAUAAAAACACCAUUUUAAAAAUUGCAGUGUGUAUUGCAAAUAUGUCACAAAAAAUGUUCUUUGAUCUCCAUUUUGUUCAGUGCAAGUGUUUCAGCAUUUAAAAAGUGUCCUCUAAACUAAUUUGAUUGGACCGAUUCUCGUGGAUAUAUAGAUAAAAGAAAAUAGCGUUGUUUGUAAAUUCUUAAUUCAUGAAAAGCAAAUUGC